GUUUAACAUAGCUUUAUUUUAUUUAUUUUUAACCUUUUUGUUUCUACGCUAUAGGAAGAUUAAAUCCAGGGAAGUGAAACGUGGGCAAUAUCCCACUGCAUUUAACUAACACCUCUUUGUUCGUGCUUUAAUGAAUUUCUUUUGAUUUUGAACAUUAUUACAGAAAGAAGAGAGCCCUGACGUGGAACAUCCUAAAAAAGUAUGAAUCCAUACAGUGUGUUUAAGUAUACUUUUCAAACAUUUCUGUCCUCUGUAUGAAGACUGACUUCUAGGCUUCCUUUCUCUUCAGUUUUCCAUUAAAAUUUUCACUAAUCAUGAGUUCUUCACCCUUUUCAUUAACGUAAUAUUUUUUAUAUUGACUCUACUAAUACAUAGCUGAGAUGUACUCCUGCUGGCAUUGUUUGUCUUGCAUGUAUUCUUUGCGUCAGAAGACUUCCAUUUAUCAAUACUUAAUUAGUUUUAGUUAUUUUUUGUUUUUGUCUUCAGAAUAUCAUGUUUCUUCAUUCAACUGUCUCGGGAUCUAGUGUUAGGACAUCUUCUUUUUGUUCAAAAGAUCAACUGAGUGUGUUCAUUUUGCUCAUGGCAUUGUUAUAGUACUCUGUCCUUUACUUCAAACAGCCUCUACUGUAUAGUAUCAGUUUCUGCUUUGUAUAAGUGCCAGUGUGUUUUAUAUUUUGUAACUCAAUUCUAGAAUUCAGUGAACGAUUGUUCUUUUUUUUUUUUUUUUCAUGAUUUAAAACUGAAGAUAAAAAACAAUAUGAUACCAAACAAUGUUUUGAAAUUAUCAGUAUAAAUUGUAUAUCCUUAUUUACGCUGUAGAUUUCUAGGGCUCUAAAACUGACAAAUUUGAUUCAUUUGCACAAUGAAGGGAAUUACUCAUUACCUGUCACUAAAUGUGGAAAAAUUGCAAUCUAACUUCUAAAGUGCAUAUAUUUGACUCCUAUGUUAUCAAACUGCCACACCUUCCACAUUUUCUAAAUAAUCUUAAUGUGACAUUACUUUUUAGUGCUUUUGUGGUUUACAAACAUACUGGUUUAAAAACUAGAAAUAUUAUUAAAUCCAUCCUGUUUUAAUAUAACAAUUUAUUUUAUGUCUUGUGGUCUUGUAUAGCGCACUUUAAAAACAUUUUUUGCUUUAAAUUAGUAGUGAGGUCCUGUGCCAUCAUAAACAUUUCACAAUCAAAUAUCAUACAUUUUAAGUUUGAUCUUAUGUUAAGACAGGAUGGAACACCACUGGUUCAUCAGGGUAUAAAAAAAGAAUAAAUUGUCAUGCUGAAUGCUAUGCUGGAGUAUUUUGGAUGGAAACAUUAUAGCUCAGCUUUCUUGUUAAAAGUAGACUAUGAAGUGGAAAUUGGCAUGUUCUCAACAUUUUGUUGAGAUUAAAUAAAUACUUCCCAUUGACAGCUGUUAAAGUUACACCUUGUGCAACAAUACAUUCAUUAUGUUUUUGCGUAACCCUUUUCUCCUUCAGAACUUCGUAUUAUUUACUACUAUCAAAAGCCUAAUAAAUAUUUUUUGCAUCAUUACAUUGUUAUACUACACAUAACGUAACAGCAUAUAAUUAAUCAGUCAUUUAUAAUUACUCAAAUAAUUAAGUGCAUGGGGUGUCAGAAUGAUGGCCAUCAGAUGCCAAUGUACUACACUUCCCUUAUUUAUCUGACAUUCUAUAAUCCGUUAUUAAGAAACCUGUGAAGUGUAGAUCAGAACCCCUGAUGUAUGGUCUGCAUGGUUAAUUAUAUGGUCAACGGAGAAAUUAAUGCAUUUAUAACAUGCUUUUACUGCUAAUCCCAGAGAUCAUGACAAAUCAAUUAACAGUUAUAGCCUCUGGUUACUCUGCUUAAUUACCAAAAAAAAAAAGUUGUUUAUGCUGCUAACAAAUAUCUCUAUAGAGAGGAAAUUUAAUAUUUCUGCUAACUUGGAACUCAGGAUGUGAGAGGCUUCACCAAUCAUUAGACACUAUUAGGGUGGAUUACGUGAUGAUACAAAUUAAUCUCCGGAUAAAUCAAUAUCUUUCUUAUUGUGACAGUCCUGAUAUAAGUGUUCCUGAAGGUGUGUGUGCUAGGACAGGUGACAAGAAAUGGUUCAUCUGGUAAUAAUGUUUAAAGUAUUAUAUGGCAAGUGACAAAAAUAGGCCAUUGUUCAUUAGCUUCAUAAUCACGCUUAGUUUUAGAAGAAAUAAAUAUUUAUGUUGGAGUGUAGAGGGGAUACGGUAUAGGAAAAGAGCUUCUCAGGGACUUCCGCUGGUCAAUUGGUACACCUUGUUAACUCGUUACAAGAUUGGCAGCUGGUCCAGUCCUACUUAAGUGUAAUUACAAUGUGUCUUUUCUAGUUCUCACAUAUGCAGCUCUGAUUUUUUCUUUCUUUUUUUUUUUUCUUCUUUUAUAUUGUAAUUCCUACAUUUGUUUUUGCAGGCCUUCAACUCAGAAACAGACAGUUUCAAGCUCUCUUACGGAGGACACCAAUAUCAUGCGAGCUGUGCAAAUUUCUGGAUCAACUGUGUAGAGCCUAAGCCACCCGGCCUUUUCCUUCCAGAUCUAUUAUAGUAACUUUGUCUAAUCACAAAUGACCGAGGAAAAGUCUUACUGCAAGAUUGUGGGACUGCCCUAAAAAUACCCUGACCGCUGCCAAUUGCAGAUCUGUGUAAAACCUAUGCUGCUGAAUGUCUCUGGUAUUGUGAACAUUGCAUAAAGUGCAAUUCAUUUAUGAAAUUACAUUAAAUUAUUUAUAAAUAGUUGUGAAAUAUAAGUAUACUUUAGACCAUUUCCAUUGUAACCUCCCCAUAUUUUGAUUGUGGUUUCUUGGUCAGUAAGGCAAAAUAUUUAUAAUUUUCUAAGAGAGCUCCUGCCUUUACUAACUUUUUUAACUCCAGGUACAAAGCUUAUGUAUGCUGGUUUCAUAAGGCUUGACAUAUUUUAAAAACAAUAUAGGUGAUAGUAAACUGUGCCUAGUCACACUAUUGAGUUGACUAGAAGAGAAAAUGCAGGGUUUAAAAACAAAACAAAACUAAAUAUCAGCGUUGGAUUUCUGUUUGCUUUAAAUGUGUAGAUAAUGUUUUACUUUCAACCUGUGUGUGUCUCUCUAAUUUUCAUGCAAUUUUAUGAAAUUCUUUUAUGUGCUACAUUUUGAUUAUAGCUAUAGAACAUUGUGUUGGAGAGCUGUUACCAAUUCUAGUAUGUCUGAUAUUAAAAUAACUUUUUUAAGCAGUUAAUGAAUAAUUAACUGGUCAAUAAAUCAUAUAAAUAGUAGAAAUUAAGAUUAUCUAAUUUUCUUUCUGGUUUUAUCGUCACCUCAUCCUAGGAUGUCACAUUCAAGUAUUCAACAAAGUAUUUUACUAAAAAUAAGGCAUUAAAUGUCCAUGUAUAAAGUACCAUUAGCCAAACAUAUACAUUUUGACCGUUUAUUGGGCAUUUUUUAUUUAGCGAUAUAGUUCUUUCAUUCUUCAGCAUUCAAAGGAUAGCAUUUGUGUAAAUCUUCUAGAGUCCAUUUUAGAAGGCAAAGCUGUUUUGUAUUUAACAUAAUGUCUGUUGAUUAUGAUCAUGAUCCCAAAAUUGUGAUGGUAACUGUACACCCUGAAUUGCUGCUUUCUUAGGUGCAGAGGGGUGACUUACCGUUCCAGCAACAGGCUGGUUAAAAGGACUGUCCUUUGUUGAGCUGCAAUGACACUAUUGUGCUUCAAGCUAAAUGAUGGUAUCCUUGGAAACUGUAUCCACGGUGACUUGUUCUUUCCACAGACAUUACCAGUGAAGAUACUUCAUUCAGUGUCCAUAUUAACAAAUGUUUGUUUAGUUUCGUUAUGGUUUCUUUUCAUAAUCAAAAAAUGGUUAUUAGCAUGGCCUCCAGUUUUAAAUGUUCUUGUCAUAAAGCUGCCCCUUUAUAGUAAAAUGAGAAAAAUAAUAAAAAAAAAAAAUCUUACUCCUAAUAUUUUUAUUUUUUUUUAAAGUGGUAUUCAGGUGUAGUUUCACAUACUGUAUUCAAAACCAAGAAUACAAAUUGUAAAUAUUUUGAUACAAGCAGUGUGUGCAGUGACAUUAAUUUGUCUCCUCAGUCACAACUUCUAAAUACAAUUUAAUGCAAGUUACAUUUAACCCAAUAAAUUCAACAUCCUAAACCCCCUUAAAUAACAGUUAAUGAUGUGGGCUGGUAAAGCAAGCUUCUGUUCCAAAAUAAGAUGAACCACUCCAUUAAGGCGUCAUGGUGCUACCAGAAUUAAAUAAGCAAGACAUCCCAUCUUGGCAUAAGAAUUCGGAAACAGAUUGUGAUGAUGGCAAACUGUGGUAUUUGGUCCUUAAAAGGGAUCUGUCUCUUUACACCACUGAAUAAAACUUCGUCAAUCACCUAUAACCUGUGAGAACUUUUUUUUUUUUCAUGAGCUGCUCUGAUUGAUUUUAAGUUUAUUUUAAAAAUAUUAAAUAUCCUGGGAAGUGACGGUCCCCCUUUUAAGAGUUUGUUUCUUGUCCUUUAUGAUAUACGUUUUUUAAUGUUUCUGUACCUGCAUUCAAGACAGUCAAGCCCAUUCCUCUGUUUGUUUUUCUUCCUAAUGAGACGUAUGUAGUGCGUCUUUAAAUUUCCCAGUUGUAAUAUCCAGAGGCUAUACUGAUCUAAAUGAUGUGUUUAAACCUGAUUCCUAAAAAAAAUAUUCAAUCUUGUUCAAAUAUGGCCUUACUUCUAAUGUAAAGUUGAUGGGUAAAAUAUUGUCAAACUAGCACAUUAAUGUUAGGUACGUUUAAUGGCUUGUACAUACUAGUACUAGUAAAUACAUUAACAUGGCUACCCAUGUUCAACAGUUAGUGGCAUUUCUUAAGGAUUGUUACUAGUCUGGAAGUAGUUUUCUGUCACAAGACAAUGGUAAUAGUGGUAAUAUUUGCUAGAUUCCCUGCAGUAUCUUUAAGUUGAGCUAUUAGUUUGUUUUAUUGUGUUCAACCAUUUAAAAAAAAAUAAAAAAUAUGAGCCAAUGUUACUUACAUAGAUAGAGAAGUGUUUUAAUGUAUUGAGCAGUGGGUUCUUAUUCUCACUUUAAAGGGUUACUCCAAGCAUCAUAAGCACUACCAACAUAAGUACCCUAGUCUGUUUACUCAGAAAUAUGGCAAACCAAUUAGGAAUGGCUUGCUCUCUUACGUGGGCCUCAGCCAGGCAACAAGAUUAUUUUGUGGCUCCGGUGACUUGCUUUUGGCUUUAACAAAGUUGCAGAAGCCUUAAACUGAUCCAGUCGUCAUUCAUUGGCUGAAAUGUCAGCUGACCACUCUCAGCCAAUGAAUGGCACACUGUGCAUGAAAAUGUUCACAGAAUUUACAUUGGCCAGCCCUGAACUCUUGCUCAAUUUCCAUUAGCCAGCCUUCUUUUUAAAUUGUGUUUCUCAUCCAGUAAAACACGUUUAUAGAACUGUGAUCUGCAAGCUAAACUGUUAGCACUUCCUAAAUGCCACAUUCCACAAAGGUUUGUGUGUGUAUACACACCAACAGCCUUCCAGCUGAAGUGGUAGAGGUUAACACAGUGAAGGAGUUUAAGCAUGCGUGGGAUAGUCAUAAGGCUACAAGAUAAGGCCAGAGACUAAUGAAAGUAUUUAGAAAAUUGGGCAGACUAUAUGGGCCAAAUAGUUCUUAUCUGCUAUAACAUUCUGUGUUUCUAUAACACUCACAAUAUGUGUUUUAAAAAAGUUGUUUCCCUGAACCUGGCCUUUUCUUCACUUUUCAAUGUUUGAUUCAUUAUCAACAGUCUUUUAUAGAUGUCUGUUCAUUCCCAUCCUUUAACAUACUCCAGGACUAGUGCCAUGGUAUAAGGUAUAUACUCUUUAAGGCAAAAGAAAUGAAUGUAUCACUAAUCCAGGAUUGAUCUGUAGAUUAUUACAUUUUAAAGUUACUUAUUUAAGUAUAUGUUAUUUCUGUUUCAUUUAUCUGUUUGAAACACUGUCCAAUGCUGGAGGAUUAACGUACCAUGGACCAAUUCUUCUUCUCUAAAUUGUAUACAAUUCAUGUACAAGUGCAGUAUCAUUUUUGGUUGAUUUUGUUUUAAAAUUGUUUCUUUAUUUAGCUAUCUAUUGAAUUUUCAUUGUGUAUGGUGAUUAUUUAUAUCUUUGCUGCCUGCUGUGAAAUUUUAUCUUCAAUUGUUGUUUGAAGGUUUAUGGACUGCAUUUUGUUUGAUGUUUUAAUAAAGAUCAGACUUCUUAACUGGCAAUCAUUUAUUAACCCUUCAAGGUCCUUUAGGAUGUCAAAUGCUAUACCGGAAAAAGUGGGUCUUUGUGUCCUUUGGACGGUAUAGACUAUCCUGUAGUAUCCUGUAGCCAGGAGAGGUAAAUCCCUGGUCCUAGCAGAGGGAUUCAGGUAUCCAGAUUUAGUGGCCCCAAGCUGACGAAUGGCAAGUAAUGAAUUCUCACUGUAAGCACUGUCACAUCCAUUUGGAAUAAAGUCUCUGAAGUUCUGUUUGGCCUCACCACUGCAACGUUAUCAAUAAAAUGUCUUGGUACCAUUGAUAUCAGGGAAAGACUGAUGAGGGCUACCGGUAACCCCUCUGAUUAUAUUAUUUGUGUGAUCAGUCACAUAGAGAGGGGCUGUAACUUUGUGACAAGUUCUG
rnacentral:lncRNA from 1 species